rnacentral:rRNA from 1 species
GUCCACGCCGUAAACGAUGGAUGCCAGCCGUUGGCAAGCAUGCUUGUCAGUGGCGCAGCUAACGCAUUAAGCAUCCCGCCUGGGGAGUACGGCCGCAAGGUUGAAACUCAAAGGAAUUGACGGGGGCCCGCACAAGCGGUGGAGCAUGUGGUUUAAUUCGACGCAACGCGCAGAACCUUACCAGGGUUUGACAUCCUGUGCUCGGCUCAGAAAUGGGCUUUCCCCGCAAGGGGCGCAGAGACAGGUGCUGCAUGGCUGUCGU